AUGCGAACUGCGAAGUACAGCGCGCGCAGCCAAGAGCAUCACUACCAUCCCUCUUCCCCGUCGCCUGCAAACUGACGUACAGCGCAGCCAAAAUCACCCAGCGGGAGAAAUUGGCAUGACACAAGAUUUUACUACCGUCCCUUUUCCCCGUUACCUGCAGUUCGGUGUCUUACCCGGAGGGCACAGGUACAGUGUCUAUACUCACGUCUCAACGGAAAUAAAAAUAAAAGAUAAGAUGUUUGUUCAGUUUCGGUUGUCGAUUUCAGCCAAUCACCGAGCUACAUCUCAUCAGUCACACACUUACACCGAGGUGAGAGUUUUCGAUCUUCGCCCGCAACCCGCAAUGCCCGCAUCUUGAAUCUACUUGAAAAACUUGUAAAUUGAUAAUUUGUCAUUGUCAAUUUGCGCAAAUUUAGACCUUUGGAGGAAAGAAAUUGUAUUUUUUGGUGAUUUUUGGAACUUUUAUAAUAGAGAACGUGAAAAUCGCCACCCCAAUUUAAACUGUCAAACAUCAGACCAAAAAUGUUACGUUAAGUGGACAUACGUGGAUUAUAAGUGGAAGCCUCGUUGUUUUUGAAGUCAUAAUGUGUACUCGAUCAUGUUCCGCUACUUCGUCGCUUUUUCGCUAGAUCGCCGCUUUCUUUGGAUUACCAUUGGUCUCGUUCAGUCGAGAGACUGUUCUACGUGCCCACUGAUAUUCCUUUUACUGCAUUGGACAGCUUCUUCUAUUUUCUUCCGAAUGACAACAGCGUAAACGAUGUUCCCUUAUGUCGAGGGUUUUAUUAAAGAAUAAAGUUAUUGUGUUCAGGGUAAGUUCCAGAACAAUUGAUAAAGUACCUAAGUUGUAGAUAGGUAAGUAUUGGUAGUCUGUGUAGCCAGGCUACACAAAAUGCAACUUUUCAGGAGAAGCAAAAAACUUACUUUAUUCAAAAACUGAAAAAUUAUCAGAAACGUCACUCAGGCCACUGAAAGUUGUCUAACAGGUCCUAUUAGUCCUACUAAAGUCCCACUUUUUUUUCAAUAAGACUUCGUAAAAUUUUCAAUUUUUCCUCGAAUUUUAAACAAAUUUUGUAGAAAAGGACUCAUUUUUCGACUUUUUUAGAUUUUGAAUUACACAUUUUUGAGAGCUUUUGUCCUCGCUUCGCUCGGGCUAUUUCCUCUUCUUUUCCCGCAUACAUCGUCGAAGACUUAUUCUACAAAUUCAAGAAAUGGUCAUGUUUGAAUCAGAAAAAUAAACUUUUCUUUCCGUAAAGAAACCUUUUGUUUUUUUGAAAACAUGGUUGAAUUUUUCAAAGCUUUUGGCCUCGCUUUACUCAGGCUUGUUUGCUUUUUUUUUCAAGUUUGAAUUUUUUUUCUUAAAGUAAUCAUCAUUCGAAUUUUAAAAUUUUGGAACGUCUACUUGAGUCCUAUUUUUUCAUUUUGAAAUUUUGUUAGACACCCCGCACUGGUAGAGGUUCAUUUUAGACAAUUUCUAAGAUUGGUCCGAUUGAAAAGUAUUCACGUGUUCAAGAUAUAUGGCUCAUUAAAGUUGAUGGACUUGUCCCACUUUUACUCUAAACGUUUCAAAAUAAAAAAUGAUUAUGGCUGAUGAUGGAAUAUGACUUGGUGCCUCGUGAAGGUGUGUCACUUGAGCCUCAUAUCCACUUGGAACCUUCUGGAAAUACUGGACUGGAGUGCACGGCAUUCAUAAGCAAAUGAAAAAAAGAUCCAUUUUUUUGGGAAAGUACUUACAAAAUUUCAAGAAAAAAAAAGCAAUAAGUAAUUAUUUAAAAAAAUUUGAAAACAUCUUUGUCAAAAAUACUACUUUAAUCGAAAAAUGGAUGCCAAAUUUGGAAUCUGUAACUUCGAAAACCUAACAAUUGAUAUGUCACACAUCAAAAUUGGCACGUUUGGACUUAACCCCUUUUAGCUCUUAACAGAGAAAACGUUGCGAAACACCCUGUUCCCAAUACUGGACUUGAAUUCUGUGCGCGUCAGUCGAUCCACGAUAUUUCAAUUGAACACCUUGUCGAAUACUCGUCAAAGUGUGUUUUUUCUUCGUUUCUCCACGAAAUUCAAUACCAUACAAUUUUUAGCAGUGAUUCUAAAGUUAUUAUGAUUUAUAAACUAUAUGACAACUGUAUUGAAUUUUCUUUUGAUUCGUAAGUCUGUGUAUGUAUAUAAUAUACCUAGUAUUCUUAAUACGAAGCGAAAGAGUUUAUGAAUGAAAAAAGUAACAAUACUCAUUAUCUAGUACAUAGGUAGUCGAGCUCACACAAAUACCAUAUGAAUGAAGCUCGGUAAACUACGAUGUAUUGUUAAAAACACUUACUUUCGGCAUCGAUUAUUUAGGUAGAAUAGAUAGCAUUCGAAUUGCACUUGUCUAUUCGGAAUUGCAGCAAAUCACGACAGAAAAUGAGCAACGAAAUUUUCCAAAAAUUAAUCACUCUCACGAUUAUAAAAUUAUUGCAUAAUAAACCUGCCGAAUUUCUUUGAGAAUGAGCUAUCAUGAAUAUCGAAUAUUGUUAUGAAGUACCUACUAGUUAAUCACAACAAAGAUUGUGUUUUUGAACACUGAUAAUCACAUACUAAAUCUUGUUACAGUUUGAUUGUUGGGAUCGUCUUGCGAUUUACCCCUUUAUCCUUCCCUUUUGGAUUUUUCUUGGAAAAUUAGUCGUUUUAUAAUUUUAGUGGUCUUCUAAGGGUUUCUCGGUUUUUACUUGUUUGUUUUUAGUCAAAUUUUUAAUGGUUACGCUUUUUAACUCUGUUGGUGUAUUUUAAUCUUUCGAGAAGUGUUGAUGAGGCGUGUAAUUUUUUAAUUUAAGUGGUAAAAUUAAAAAGGUUUAUCGAAAGAAUACGACUUUUUAACAAAAUAUCGACGGGUUAUUUUUCCAUUGCCGCUAUUAUUUAAUAAUUGUUUUUCAAACGCUAGUCAGCGGGUCAUUGUAUUAUCUAUAUACAUAUUGCCGGAUGUUACUGAUUACUGGAAUGAUUAUGGAAACUAUGAUAGCUAGAAAGCUCAAAUUUGAGAUGUGGAAAGGGUUUGAUAACAGGUCAUCAGGAAAAAUCUAAAAAGUUCGAAGUGUCAAUUAGGAAAGCUUCUGGAGCAAUUUAAAGCUCUAAAAAGCUCAAUAAUUAUUAAAAAUUUAUCAUUUGGUAACACUGUAGCAAAAAAAUUUAUGGAAAAUGCUUAGCAAUAAGAAAUGCAUCGCAUUAUCGCUUCGUUCCUAAAGCUCAAUAAUUAUUAAAAAUUUAUCACUUGGUAACACUGCAGCAAAAAUUUAAUAUGGCAAAUGCUUAGCAAACAAUUUCUUCUUCGUACCUAAAUAAACUUUUUGAAAAAUUUGUAUUCUCUAGCUGCAUUUUACAAAUACAUACGUAGUUGAGAGAGACUUGGUGGCAACCUCGAAAAAACGAGUUCUGAGAGAGAAAAGAGAGAUCGACGGGGGGUUUGGGGGGCGUGAGCGAGUUUUGAGGGCGCAGCUAGAGGAGCGAUUGUGGGGGUUGGGUUGAGAAUAGGUCGCAACUUGAUUUUUAGCUGUCCAAGUUAUCUGUGUCUUUUUCAGAAAAGUGGAGGCUCCAGAAUGAGCAAAAGUUGAUAUUAUUUUUGGAACUAAUUUUCAUAAUUUGUACCUAAUAAAUACCUGAAUAUACCUGAAUAUGUACCCUUAUUUUUUAAACGAGCAUACAUCACCGAAAGUGGUCAAUUUUGGAUUUUUGAAAAAUCGUCAAAAAUCGUGAAAUCAAUCUGAGAAGACAAAAUUUUGGGUAUGGGGAUUUCAGGCCAUGCUUUUUCUAAAAAUUGAAAUCCAUGCAGAGGCAGACACCUCGAUUUAAUGAUUUACUAUGACUGUGUAAUUAAGAGAUUUGAUCAACUUUUGUGACUCUUGUGCCCGUUGGGGGGGGGAGGGUUGAAAGUAUAUUUUGAAAAUUAGUUUGUCAAAAAGAAACUAGAAAAGGGUCUUAAUUUUUUCAAAUAUUCAAAUGGUAGGUUUCAGUCUUCUGUUAAUCAUAACGAGAAGUUACAUUUUUUAAAUUUUAGCCAAUUAUCAAUCUUGAGCCUCAUAUUCACCUACUCCAUAGAAAACUUCAGAGACAGAUUUAAGGUACUUAAAGUUAGGUCAGUCUCGAUAUAUGCGCCUUCGACUUCGUUCCCCGCAAUUAUUUCUGACAUUGAAAUUUUGAAUAAUGUGCAGAUGUGGGCUUUUAAUUUGAUUUUGUUUACCUACCUAUUUAAAUAAUUGCUUGAAAUAUUUUAUCAUCGGUUCUCUCUAUAACCUUUACCUAACUAUUUCAAAACUUUUUGAUGAAAAGUCGAGACUUUUUGAUAAUUUUUUGGUAACAAAGUGAGAAAGGAUUUUGGCAAUUUCUGACGAAAAAGGCAAUUCUAGGAAAAAUAAAACGAGACUGACAGUUUCAAUAAAAGGGGUUUUCUGAGAGUUUCUGGCAAAAAAGCGAGACACUUCGACAAUUUUUUUAAAAAACAUAAAAAAUUCGAAAUUUUUUGAAAAAACAACUAGGUAAGUAUGUACGAUUUUUACAAUUUUUGGCAAACAACGAAAUUUUGACAAUUUCAGCAAACUUUGUGAGAAUUAUUGGCAAAAAAAGAUACUUUGGCAAUUUAUUUCUGGAAAAUACUUACCUAAGCUGAGCUUUCAGAUGAUUUUGAAGAAAAAAAAACUUAAAGCAACAAUUAGAUAGUUUUAGUAAAGAUGAGCAAUUUUUGAAAAUAAGAAAUUAAGUACACCUUUUCGCAAUUUUUGUUUCCAAAAAGUCAGAUUUUUCACUUUGAAACUUAUGGCAAUUUUACGUUGAAAAAAGAGACUUUUCAACUACGAAAAAGCUAGAAUUUCCAGCAAUAGAGAAGACUUUUGGACAUUUUUUUUGAAAAAAUAUAACUUGAUAGAACUUUUUGUAAACAACCGAGAAUUUUUACAGUUUUAAGGAAAAAGCAAAACUGACUAUUUUUGGAGGAAAGCACGAAUUUUUCAUAAUUAUUGGACAAAAAAAUGAUGAGUACUUUACCGCAAUCUUCGUUGAAAAUGGUUGACAUUUUUUAGUCAUUGAUAUUUUUUCAUUCAAAAAAUGGGGUUUUCAGGUCAUUUUUAGGAGUAGAAAUGAAUACUUCUUGAACUUUUUUUGCAAAAAAUUUUUCAGGUGAAAAGUGCGUUUUUUGGAUAAACAUUUUUUUAAAAUUUUAUGUUGAGUAUUCAGGGGGGUUGGGCCGCGAAGCGGCCAGGGGGCGGAGCCCCCUAGUCACAUAUAUGCUCGUAUUGGCAACGUUGCACUGUCCACAUUGUAACGUUGUUGCUUGCUAAUAAGGCUGAGUAUCUCGCUUUGUUAAAGUUGAAAUAUUCAACUCGUGACAUAAUUUUUGUCGAUUAGAUUUUAGCGAGAUUUUAUGAAAAGAAAGAAAAUUUUAAAACCGGAGUUCUAAUUUUUGAACUACGGUUCCCCGCUAAAUUAUUUGUCAAGGAAAAAUCUCCAUACUUCAUUCACCAAUGAAUUUUUUCAAAAAAAUUACGAUUUUUCUUUUUCCUAUAUAUUAAAAAUCGAUAAAGAAACAACAAAACAGUAACAAAAUAGAAACCGAAAAACAGAUGAAAGAAAGAGAAAAAAAAUUUUAAAUCAGAUUUUACGUUAAAUUGGCGAAUUCAUUAUUAUAGGUAUAUUAUUAAAAAAAAAACUAAAUUUAAACUCUUCACAUUUUUAUCAUUCUCCAACUCAGCACGGACACAAAAAGGACCACUACGGCAGACGCCAUCAGCGGACCGAUCUCAGUUUUGAAAUUAACCCGCGGGUUACGAUCUCUGAUUUCACAAUCAAGUUCAACUGAAAAUAAAAAUAUUAAUCACACACCACUGCCGAUAAAUGGCACCCUUUAAUUGUAGCAAAAAAGUUUUAAAAUUAAACUUACAUGGCACUACGGUAGGCUUUGGAGCUUUUUUCGGCACGUUGGUGUUAUUUCGAUCUUCAUCCAUUUUCUUAAAAAUUAAUAAUUUUAUUAAUUUUUUGAAGGAUUGAUGAAGGUUGGGGGGGGGGUAUUACUCUGUAUAUGUCAUAUGCCGGGCUAUUUUUAAAAAAGGUCCUCGAAAGAUGAGUAUGGUCCAGCGGUCCCAAAGAUCUUCGGAAGUGAAACUUAUGUGAUGCAUAGGUACCCUCAAAAUAAGUAUUUUCCCAGUGAGUUUUGAACCUCAACUCUUGAGUGGUUCUUGAGGAAUUCCUCAAAAAUCGAAAAUCGUUUUUAAUUUUUUUCUCAAGAUUGACUCGGCCGAUUUUUUUCAAACUUGAACCAAAGUGUAAGUAAUAAGUAUGCAUUUCUUGCGUCGAAUCCCAAUAUCCCAUAAUUUUGAAUUUCAACCCUGCUAUGCACCUUUCCUCACCCAAAAAUAAUUUAAAGGUAAUUAGUCGAGGGCCGCAUAAGGAUCAAUUGCACCCCCUACCGAUCCUCCGGGACAACUUUUUUCUUAAAGGUGGAGUCCUAAAGUUGAUAUCCACCUGAAGUCGACUUCGUAGCGUAUUGAAACUAGUUUGCAGAAUGAAUUUCGUCUUUCCAACUCUAUUUGAUGAAAUUUUGGGGAAAUUUCAAGUUUUAAGAAUCUGCUGGAGGCUCCAGAACUGCUCUAAACGGUUUGAAACAGUUUCCAAUCGAUUUGGCAGAUCGAAAAUAGGGUAUAUUCUAAAUUUCAGCUUUCUAGGUCAAUUUGGUAAGAUUUUGAUUUUUCCCUCAUUUUUGGCGUAAAUUUGAUUUUCAAAAACUUGUCAAAAAUCGAAAAAGGCACUCGAGUACUUGGAAUUUUGUCAGGUGAUAAAUUUUUGCCCGGUCUUUCGAUCUACUUUUGUAAGGUUUAAAAAAUUUCGUGCAAGUCCUAUGUUGGAACGCAAAAUCUGUGAUUUCGGCUGCCCAGUCAUUCAAAAUGGCCGCCAUUUUGUGAGUAGGACCAAGUUUUUUUUUUGAGGACAAGGGCUAGAAAUGUUUCUUAGGACUCCCCCUUUAAGAAAAAAGUUGUCCCGGAAAAUCGUCAUACAGGGCGUGCUAUUGAUCCAUAUGCGCCCCAUCCCUGAUUAAAUAAAUAAAAUUUCAAAAGUUUAUUCCAAAAUAAAAGUAAAAAUUGAACAACCAAAUAAAGUAAUGUGGAGAGACAAAACAUCGAAUUAUCGAAAUUUUAUCGAAAAAAUCGAUUUUUCGUUUUCUGGUUGGUUGAAGUCUUCUGCAGCACCCUGUAUAAGUCGCUUUGCCCUAGGCAUUUCCGCUGAGGUGAUAUUACAAAUAACGCUCAGGGACCUUGUGGUGAAACAUUAAAAAAGAAAAGGUACUUGGGGGUGAAAGAUGAAAAAGCCUGGUGAUGACUCAAAUUUUAGUACUUCAACGAAGCAAAUGUAAAGCUCCGUGCACGUACUAUCGUCAAGAUGCUACUGUUGAAAAGAAGGCCCCUCCCAAAAAACGUGUGCAUCAAAUGGUUUGUUGGAUUACCUUGAAAAAAAAUUGAUGACUGCAAUUCGUCAAUGGAAAUUGGAAACUAGUUCAGAUUCGGAGUGGGUACUAUAAAUUCAAAGACGAAAAUAUAAGAAAAUAAUUUGUAUAACAGGGUGUCUGCGAAGGGCUCGUGUUUGUUUGAUUUUUACAAGUUAAAUUACUCAUUGAGAGCUUCUUGAUUUGAAAAAAAAAAAUGAUCAUUCAAACAACAUUUUGAAGCUUUUGAGUUCGUUCAUUAUAUAAAAUGAAAAAAAUUGUUUCGUUGGGGGGGGGGGUGAACAUAUUUUGGAAGAUGGUGGUUGUUUUUGAAAUUCUGUAGACACCCUGUAGAAGUGUUCAAAAUGUUAAAAAUUUGCAACUGAAUGGAAAUUUGUGAGUUGUGGUUGAUACAUAUAAUGAUUUUAUUUUUCAAACUGACCGUUUUUCAAUGGCAAUUUAUCGUCUCUAUUACGUACUCAUCACACAAAAAACAAUCUUUUUUUAGCUCUUGAAAAUACUGAUUUUCGAGAGCUUUUUGGGGCUGUUUACUUUUCUUUUUAAUUGAACUUUUCAAGAAAAAUCAUCAUUUUUCAAAUUUCAUUGUUUUAUGCCUGUUGGAAUACUUAUCAAAAGCUUUUGCUUUUCAAUUUAUCAAAUUUUUCAGAAAAAUAAAAUCAUCAUUCAAAAUAUUGAAAAAUUUUGAAGAAAAAUAAUAAACUGAAAAGUUGUCAUCACACAAAAAACCAUAGUUUUUUUACCUCUUGAAUAAAACGGAAGUCCAUUUCCUUGAAAAAAAUCUCAGGAUGAAAAAACGAAAAAAUACUAAUUUUGAUGAAUAAUUUGUUUGAAUUGUAAUAAGUGAAGCAGCUCAGUUGGUUCAAUUUUCAUCUUUUUCGACAAUAUACACUCACUUUUCUUUUCAGAUGAUAAUCACAAAGAAAUCCUCUUUGUUUGAGUACAUUUCGUACAUACAACAGUGUUGAAAAACAGUUCUGAUAGUUUUGAACAUUUUUAAGAUGGAAAAUAAUCACAAGAAGUGUACUUUUUAUUGGUUCGUACCAAACAAAAAAAAAUUAAGAAUGGAACACUUCAGAAAAAUGAAAUUUGCUCAUUCAUUAUAAUGGAAUUUCAGUUUUUUGAGAAAAGCUCAAAAACUAAGGAUCCUAGAAAAAAACUAAUCACUUCAAGAGGGGUAUAAGUUGUCAUAUGUCCUUUUUGAUGCGACAACGGAUUCGUGUUCCCUGAAGCCUUGGCAACAUAAUAAGACCAAUCCCACUUUCCAAAAUGAUUUUCUCACAGAGUAAUGGCAUUUUAAAAUUACGAAGUUCCUAAAAAUCACGAUGUUUGAUCAGUUUGACAUCACCGCAUCGGCACCGUAGAUAUUUUUUUUUAAUUUAUGAGAAAAAAAUUUGUCAUUUUUUGGCGUAUGAUUUUUUUGUCGCAGGAGAAGGUAAAGUUGAAAAUUUUUAUAUGAAAAUGUUCGUUGUUUCAUCCUCCACAAUUUUUGUCAUGGAAAUUUUUUUUAAUACCCGCAUGCACGGAAGGUGUGACGUCAUUAAUGCGAAACUGACGAAAAAUUCUCUGCAAUUUUGGUCAGAAGUAAUUUUUUGUAAGAUGCUUCGUUUUGCCGCUAGAUCAAUCUUUAUGAAAAAAAAUCACCACAAGGUCCCUUAUCAGUUUUCAUCUGUUCUGUAUCAAGAAAUUUUUUUUUUUAAACAACAACAACUGCAUUGGAUUCAGCGUUAAAUUUCAUGCUGGAAUCCAUACUUCCAAUACCUAUUAAAAAAAAAAAUUUCAUAACUUCAAUCUUUAGAGGCGUUUUUCUCGAAACUUUACUCAGGCCUUACUCACAUUCAGGUAAGUUUAGUGCAGUGUACAGUUGAUGUUUGACCACUUACGGUGAAACUGAUUGCACCACUGGAUUCCUCAUUGAAAAAAUAACCCUAAACGUCAAUUAAAAAAAACAUCGAUCCACCACAAAGUCCCUAAUUGCUAAACGCAUACAUAUACGUAUUAAAAAAAAUAUAUAUUUUAAAAUAUUUUUAGCCCUUUCAAUUUUAAAGUUAGGCAAAAAUUCAUAGUCAACAAAAUUUGUUUAUUUUCCAAAGUACUUACUACCCAUUGGCUAUUCCCAGGGUCAAAAAUACGCUUUUCACAAUUUUUUCUUUUAAUAAAUGUAUUAUAUUUUAGCACGGGAGAACUAGGGGACUUUCUUCUAAAACGUGUAGAAAGUUUUUCGCCAUUUUCUCCUCCGCAUUGCAUUUUAGCAAAAAAUGUGUGGUUACUUAAAAAAAAUCGACGUCUUUUCGAUCUAAUGAUGUAUCAACUUUCCUUCUUAAAGAAGGAGGGUUUUCUAAGAAAUGCAUAAAGGCUAUAGGCGCCGAAGAGGGGUGAAAUGGUCUCCGAGAGCGUCCGGGUUGAUAUUAUCAUGGAAGGUGGGUACCAUUGAGAAACUUCCGCAUAACACUUUUCUCAGCCUCAUAUUAACCGAUUUUGAAGAUUGUUUAGGAUGUUGUCUACAUCCUUAGGAGGUGAGGUGAGGUAGAGGUAGAGCCCCUAAAGCCCGGAACGAUGGCUAACAAGUUUAUUUGAAACGAUGUCGUUGUCGUUAAUAAAACUGUUGCCAUCAAUGCCAUCAUUAUCGGUAUCGCUUUUGGAUACUGGCUCACACACGCAUACACGUACCGUGCUCAUAUACGCUGCGUAGUGUUUGAAUGUCAGUGUACCUGUGGGCGGAGCUUCUUGUUAAUCCUUUUUCAUUUUUGUCAGCUGAUCGGUGCUGAUUGAAAACACUAAACAGGCGGAUUUAAAAACGAAUAAUAGUUUAUUACUGAAUCAUUUAUUUUGCAUAUCUUCAAGAAAUGUAUAAAAAAGGUUUUCUAUACAGGCAUUGAAUUAAAAUGCUUGAAGAAAAUCGGUUUUCAAAAUCAAUGAAAAAAAAAAUACGAAUCAUAGUGAAAUGUUAUUACGUAAUACAUAGACGUACAUAUUGUAUAGGCUUUUAAAAUUUGCGAAUGGGAUCAUUAAAAUUGCAGGAAUCAGUUACCUUGAGAAAAAAAAACAAAUAAGUGAUAAUGAUGAAGAAACUUUGAAGUUUUAAACAAAAUUACAAAAUGUGAUCAAUGUUACAUCAUGUAAUUUUUUGAAAUUCCAAAAAUUGACCCAAACAUUUUUAGAAAAGAUUGAUUUUUUUUCUAAAAUUAAGCAUCCGAGUAAGUACAUAAAUGCAUUGGCAUAGCUGAAUGAAAGUUUAAAAAUUUAAUUACAUACACCUGCACAAUUUGGGGCAAAUAUAAUGUCAAUUUACCUAUUUCAGGGGACAAAACUGCAUUGCCAAAAGAUACACAUAAAAUACCAAUUUUGUCGAUUGAUAUCAUAUAUCAUUAUUUACUCAUACGACUUUUAAACAUUUUCAUUUUCUAUUUGAGAUGUUUGAGGGCCCAAAUAUAAAUUUUAAAAAAACUGAUUUUGAGAGACCUAUAAAAAUAAUGUUUCUGUAGGAAUUUGAUUUUGAGAAAAAAGCAGAACAAGCCACAGCUAAAUGAUUGCAAAAACUUUUACGAAUUUACAUUUUGAAUGAACCAAAAACGAUAUUCCUGUAUGUAACGAGAUUAUUUUUUAGCGGUUAAAAUUUCAUAAUUUGAAAGAUUAUCAAUUUUGAAAAGAAAAGUGGACAAACCCGAGUGAGGACGAAAGCGUUAGAAAAUUUGUAUUUCGAUAGGUAUAAAAGUGAUACUUUUUAAGCGAUAUUUUUAUUUCUUCACUUGAAAACUGCGAUGGUAUUUUUAAAGAAAUUCCAAUUUUGAAAAAAAUUUAAAAAAUAUAGUCGGAGGGUCCUCAUAAUGCACCGCCCCCGUCAAUCAUCCGGGACAGCGUUUUUCUGAAAGGGGGAGUCCUAAGGAACAUUUCAGGCCGCAGAUUUUGCGUUUUAACAUAGGAAUUGCACGACAUUUUUUAAACCGUACAGAGGUAGAUCGAAAGAGCAGGCAAAAAUUCAUCACCUGUCGAAAUUUCAAGUGCUGAAGCGCCUUUUUCGAUUUUUGGUGAAUUUUUGAAAAUCAAAUUUUGGAUGAAAAUGUGGGAAAAAAUAAAAUUUUACCAAACUGACCUAUAAAGCUGAAAUUUGGAAUAUGCGCCAUUUUCAACAUGUCAAAUUGAUUGGAAACUGUUUCAAACCGUUUUAAGCAGUUAUGGAGUCUCCAGCAGAUUUUUGAAACUCGAAAUUCCCACAAAAUUUCAUCAAAUAGAGUUGGAAAGCCAAAAUUCAUUCUGCAAACUAAUUUCAAUACGCUACGAAGUCGGCUGCAGGUGGAAGGCCCUGAUUUUGAACCCUCCUAUUGCAAAUUGAACAAAAAAUAAACCUCUUAUUGCAAAUUGUACAAAAAAUUUAAUCUGCUCGUAGUAUUCGGGCACCAGGGAAUAGGGAUUGCAUAAUACUACAUUUCGGAAUGCCACCUUCACCUGAUUGAAGAAUGAGAAAUGAAAAAUUGCGUAAAGUAACUAUAGCAGAAAGUUUGUUGCAUAUUACAUUCGAUCAAAAUUUAAGGACAAAAAUUGUCCAAUCUAUCCGCCUAUAAAACAGAAUUUGAAAAAUGAUCACUGUACAAUUAGGAACAUUACAGAGAAAUUGCUUGAAAUAUCUUAAAAUAUUUUGAAAAUUGGUGGAACAUGGAUUAAAAAAUUUAUGAAAUGACAGAACAUUUUUUAAAAGAUUGGAAAACAGUGCAAUAAAUUUGUUUUUAUAAAAUACACAAGUUAUACAUAUAUAAACAAAACAUUACUUUCAUUCAUAUUACGCAUCUGUCUCUACAUGUACCUACUUGACCUUAAACAUGAUUGGAUUUUUUUAUUGCUAAUUUGCUACAAUGAAAAUUAGCUAAAAAUUUCUUCACAAGCAUGGUGUGUUAAGGAACAAUUUUUGAUUUUUGCGCAAUUUCUGGGGAAAAAUGGAGAGGGAAAAAUCAGAAUUUCAAACAAAGUAUUCGGGAGAACUGCAAUUUGAAGGUAUACCGAUACCCUAAUUAUGAUUAGCCGAUCAAUGCUUCAAAAAUUUGCCGAAAAUUAUCGAAAGACGGAUUUGCACUAUAAAAUUUUGGGUAGUUUCCUAAAAAAAAGUUGAUCGAAUACACUACCAAUCUACGUACACCUACCAGUAUUAUGUAAGAAAAUGCAGGCAUCUACAUACAUUUUCAUGGGAGAGAGACAUUCGUAUUUUAACUAGUAUUCACCUUGGUAUUCACCCAGUAAUACUAAAGCAGCGUUCACUGCUGGCACUACUAGCUGGCAUAGCCAGAAAUUUUCGAGCUAUGCGUGCAAGGAACGGAAACAUCCCUGCAUUUGUUUUCCACCAUUUCAAUGGAUCAAAUGUACCAUUUUUUGGAAGUUUGAAGGCUUUAUAUCGCUCAAAUUCCACAUUAAUUGGAUCAUCGGCUUCUUCUACAACUUCAUCAUUGUACUUAAUCCCUGAAAGACUAAGAUUCUGUCUUCUGAGCUUGAACUUGAAGAGGAUUGUGAGGAUGAUGAACUAGGUGAUGGUGAAAUGUCACCAACGUCAGAUACCUGUGUAUCCAAAUAAACGGUCUUAGGGAAAAAAACAUUAGAAAAAAUGUCCAUUCGGGUAUCCGGAUUCGGGAAAAUGUACCAGAAUCAUUUUUUGAUAUUUCAACAGAAAUUGGAAGUUUCUGGAAGUUCAGAUUGGAUUGAAUUGGAUUGAAUUUUAGUUGGAAAAUAUAAGACAUUUUUUUUUUAUUUCAGUAGGAGAAGUCAAUUUUCUAUUUAACGUUGGUCAGAGAAAGGAAAUGAAGAAGUUUUUGAAAAUUUAUAAUUCCAGAAUUUAAAAAAACAUGGUUAUUGGUUAAAGAUGUUUGAUUUUCCCAGUUUACACAACUUCUUCCCAUUUCCCAACUUCACUUAAAUUUCCCAACUCGUCCAACUGUUCCCAAAAAUUCCCAACUUUUUGCCAACAUUUUUUCGUCUGGGGAAGUAAGUCAACCCCCCCCCCCUCGUUCGGCACGCCUCAUCUGCUAUGUAGAAAAGGAAAUCUGAAUAUAAGGGGUGUUCGCGAAAUGCCUAUCACAAAUAUACAUGCAGAACAGGAAAUGUCUGGCGGAAUAAUUAUUUUUUGAUCUUCCAAUUCAUGAGAAGUUAUAAGCUGAAAUUACAAUUUAAUAUUAUUAUUGAUGCGAGAAAUUCGUUUCCAGACUUUUCAGAUUUUUAAAAUGUUAAUCUUAACAGUACCUCCGUACUUAUCGUAGAAUUUUUAUAUUGUUGAAAAUAUGAUUGAACUUGAUUCGAAUAGAGCGAGAGCAGAUUGAUUUUUGAAAUUCGUAAUUCUUCAAACGGAUACUUUAUAUUACGUCGCAUAUGUACUCAAUUUAUAGUAAAAAGUCUCAGGAACACGAGAUGGUGUGAUUGUAAUUUCUGCGGUCAGAAAUUGCUGUUUUUGACAGUAAGAUUCGCAGUCUUGACUACAAUGAACCAAUCACAAGCAAGCAUUUUUUUUUUAUAUUCCAAGAUGGCGCUGACUUGUCAGAAGAUUGAGUGGAGAUCCACACUCAGAACCACAGUCAGAAAAUGCAUUCUGACUGAUAUGUGGUCAUAACCCUAGUCAGAUACACUGUCUAAAAAAUGCCGUUUUGCCAACCGGGUAACUUAGCUUGGCUAAGUGAUGAAUUUUGAAGCAAUUUUUUCAGGCAUUAUUGGAUUUUUGAAAAAAAAAUAUAUUUUUUGUAGAUAAAUUGAGAAAUUUAAUUCCGAAGUAUCGAUUUAUCACUUUAAAAAUAUGACAUUUUUAUUCGUUUACAAGAAAAACUGAAUCAAAAUUCACUUUUUAGCCAAGUGAUCCAUAAGUAAUGUCUAUGAAUACAGUCCUAAGGCCUUAUAAUACAUAGAAAAAAUUUAGGGAUUUUUAGUAAAAGCUGGGAUUUUUUUCUCUGAAACAAAGGAUUUUUGGGAAUUUGGGGUUGGCAACACUGCAUUUCAUUACUACAUACUGCACAGUUGUUCUAAUGAAGUGAACAUGAAGUGAACAAAUUUAAGCUGCAAGGUCGAUGAUCUCGAGGUACACAUUCUUCUUCUUUUUUUUCUAAUUCGUCGUUUGUCAGCAGCAGGGCCGGCGGCGGAAGCCCAUGUGCAAGCGGGCGCUUGCACCGGGCGAAGAUUUUCACCCGGUGCAAUGCACUGGGCGAAAUUUUUUAAAAAUAAACCUAUUUUUCGUAUACAAAUUUCAAAACAAAUCAGAAUCCCUCAAAUUUGAAAAAUAUUUCAAUUUUUUUUAAAAAAAUAGUGAAAAAUUUCCAAAAAUAACCCUAUUUUUUGCAUAAAAAGUUCAAAACAAAUCAAAUUUACCCCUCAAAUUGAAAUUAUUUCAAAUUUUAAAAAAAUGGAAUUUUCAUUUCUGUCGCAUAGAUUGCAUAGCUGACCACUCUGUCAUGUAAAGAAGGAUUAGGUAAAAAAAACCUUCCCAAAAAAAGGCCCAAAACUGAUUAUGAUGAUUCGAAUUAUACUUUUUUGAUUACGUAAAUUAAUUCAAAGCCCCUGUAUUUUAGUAGGUAUUGUUUUCAAAAAUUUGUUUUUUCUCAAAAAUAAUGAAAUUUUAAACAUUUUGGCGCUUUCAAAGUGAUGGCGAGAAGGUAGAUCACAAUAUUUUUUCAGAGUUCCAGUUUUCAUCAUUCUCUUCUUCUUCUUUUAAAAAUCAUUCAAUUCUUGUUGAAAAUUGACCCUGAGUUCCUAUCUAUUGAAUUUUUUGAACUCGGAAAAACCUGUUAAAUGAACUCUAAUUUAUGUAUUAUGUAAUUUUUUAUAUUUUUGAAAUGUGCCUCCUGCGUACCUACUUGAGAAAGCUGUAAGAAAAUUGGGCCAAUCUUAAAAACCAAUUUUGGGAAGCUAUAUUUUGUAUUAAAUAAUUCCAAAGUGGAAAAAACUUCAUAAAAAAAAUCAAAACAAAAAAACAGUUGCUUAAUGAUCCAGAAUACGUAUGGAAUAUGUUUUCAAAGACCUGAUCAUUUUCAGAUCUUUCGAAAAUUCAUUAAAAAUUAAGGGAUCAAUCGAUUUUUUUCAGCUCAAAAAAAAAUUCUGAAGUUCAAUUCGAAAUUUUGUUCAAUCCAUAUCAGAAUUUGAAAAAUCAGAACAAUUGAAACAUUUUCAGUUUUCUUUCCAGCUCUGUGUUUGUAUAAAAAAUGCAGUGGUACUGCUGCGAUCUCACCUCCUUUCCUUUCAUCACAGCUAAUUCAAGAAUUUUGUGCUUUUUGUUUACCCCCCCCCCCCCCCCCACCAAACACAAAAAGUGAUUCACACUCAAUAUCUACUUUUGUAACGUUAUGGCACCAUUUAGUUGAACGUCGUUGUGGCACCAGGUAGCAAGUGAAGAAAACUUAGUCAUUUUACGCGAGUGUUUUUCAGGCAACGGUUUAUUCAUUAAUAAAAACCAACUGGUGCCUCUAUAUUAUAUGAGUAUAGAGUGAUGAUUAAGGGUAUAGUAUAAGCAACAGCGCCAUCUAAUCGAAACAUUUUACAACGAAUUUUUACAAAAGAAUACAUUGAAAACCAAUGAGACCUGAAAAUGGUGCCACAACGUCUGUUGACUAUAUGUGCCCACGUCUAGUAAAAGGGUACUAAGGGUAAAAACGUAAAUUUUACAGGAGAGCGGUUUAAAGUUUACGUUUGUAUUUUCACGUAAUUUGAGUGUAAAAACGUGAAACUUCGAGUGAUGAUGUAGUUUUCGACGGUGUUUAGCAAUAUGUAUAUUGUUGAAAGAGGCACCCGCUCGCGGAGCGAAAGGUACAGAGAUCGAGUCCCGCCUCGGGCAUGAAAAUUUUUCAAAAUUUUUUUUUGCGAUUUUUAUUUUUACGAGUUGAAUUUUUAUAGAAAAUCUAAUUUAAUCAUUUUUUUUUUGCUUUUGAACAAUGAAUAAUGAAUUUUUGUGCAAACUAAUAAUUAUUAAAAAUGAUUUCAAUUGAAAAUGAAAAAUGAACUGGUCUCAUUCGAAUUUUCAUGAAAUUUUACAUAAGAAUCAAAAAAAAAAAAUAUUUCACCCAAGUUACCCUGAAAGAAAAAUAAAAUUUGAUCAAAACCCUAAAAUUCCAAUUUUUUUAAAAAUUUAUUUUUCGACUUUACUCACUUAAAACGCGUGUAGCGCGCUUAAAAAGCACUCUACGGGUCUGGGACCGGUCUCAUUCGAAUUUUGACGAAAUUUUACAUAAAAAUAAAAAAUAAAAAAAAUUUUGAAAAAAUUACCCUUAGUACCCUUUUUCUAGACGCGGGCACAUAUAAUUUUACCAGUAUAUUAAAAGGGACUUUUAAAUGUCGUUGUGGCACCAUUACAAAAAUUUGCCUAACGACUCCUGGCAGUGCCCUGAUGUCAUUCCACACGAUUUUAAAUAAAAUACGUUGUGGCACCAUUUGGUGGUGCCACAGUGUAAAUUUUGGUGCCUGAACGUGUGUAAAGUAUAUAAAAUGGUGCCACAAGUACAUCAAUUAUGAGUAUUUGGGUUACGUCUAUUAAACGAGCUCUUUCAUUAGAGCUUGAUCGCUGUUCAACAUUUUUGUCUCGUAAGUAUCGCACUCAUUGAGAAGUUAACAUGGUAUGUAAUGUACCUCUGCCUAUCACUUCAGUUCGAAAAAAUCCCAUACUUCCAUACCGGGAGCGAAGAUAUUGGAGUUUCUCUCAACGUCGGAUACUUAAUACUUUUGAUAUAUUAAAACAUUUUCGAGUGUACUUAAGUGAAUUACUUUUCUUGAGUUUUUAAAACCGUUUUAUAUACGAGUUUUAGGAGAAUUCGAUGGCUCGGAUCGACGAACGAGACGUGUAGUAGUAAACAUUAUUAGUUUUAUUUACGUUGCCUGCAGAGUUUGGCACGCCUGCCUUUUAUAUUCUUCUUGCGAGGUGAUGAAGUGAGAUAUACAAUUACCGCGAGGUAGGAAAUUAGAAAUGGAAAUUGUGGUCUUUGGCGUAGUAGAGGAAAAAAGAACACAUUUCCGUCGUACGUGGAAAUAUGGUUAAAAGUCAAAAUUCUCGACGGAUAUUAGCCCGAGGGGAAAAUGCUCUCACGUUUUCCAUAAUACUAUAACCGAUUCCACUUGGCAAUUAUUGAAAUUCUUUUUUUUUUCGUCACUAUUCCAUUCCUAUAGCAUGUCGUAAAAUUUCUUAUAUUAUGGGAGUAGGUAUCUCUUUGUCAUUUUUUUUUUCGCGCUGUUUUCAAAUGCACUCGUAAGUACGAGUAGGUAUAUAGCUGUUAUUUUUGUUUUGUCGAGCAUUUAUAUAGUAAAUUUCGCGAGUUUUACAAGUCAAAUAAACUUAAUAAAUAUCUGUACAUUUGAGAGAGAGAGAGAGAGCUGUACAACAGGGAAGUUGGUUCGACUAUACAGUAUUUCGCGCCAACACACGCGCACACAGAAGCAGACUGUACGAAAGUUGAAUUCGAAAAUAGUUUUUACUCGCUGAAGAGCAAGUGUCUUCGACUCUUGACGCCUUUCGCAGGCGGCCUUAUUUUCCAUUUUCAUUGCUAACUCAACAAAGAGAGGUUUGUUAACGUAAUUUUAGGUACAUUAAGGCGUUGGAAUACCAAAAUGCUUUUUCGUUUCCGAAUACCACGUUAACCUGGCUCUGUAUAUAGAGAGUGGUACCUUACCUCUACGAGUAGGUACGUUUCUUUUGCUCAAAGAAUUUGCAAUUAUUGUCUUCUUUUAUACGCCUGUAGGCUGUAGGACGUAUAUUACGUGCUCGACAAACGAAUAGGAAAUUAAAAUUUCCAAUUUUUUUUCCUCGAUAUUUUGUACUUGUACACAUAAUAGAGCCAAUAUUAAGGGCGAAAAUCGAUUAAUAAUAAUAUUGGGAGGAAGGGGAGGGGAAUUUUUACGAAUCUAUUGUAAUCUGAUUACACGAUGAGGUUGUAAUGUUAGGUCUAUACGUAUAUAGGAAUUCGAGCGAAUUCAUCCAGGUAUGUAGGGCUAUGAGGAUUACCAAGUUGAGAUUCCAUUCGUAAUACGAACAUUUUGCCGGGUUUAUUUAACCUUUGGGCGGAUAUUAAGCGAAAUUUAUAAUGUAGUUGAGAUGUUUGCACGAGCAAAGAAAUUGACCGCGUGUUUCUUGCGACCAGAAUGAAAUUUCUACCAUUUCGUUUACAUUAUUCAAGUGUACAACGACCACGAUGGCAGUUUUGCUCGAUUAUAGGCCCUCCUAAAGACCUAGAUAUUUUUUGGUCUACGUUUAUAGUAAUCGACGUGAAAUUCUCAACGUCGAUUAAAAUUCGAUCAAUUUAUUUACCUACUAAUACCUGUAACGAAAUUUGAAACGAGUGGUCUUUGCAAACAGCUUCCAAAAUACUCAUUUCAAUGAUUUCUUCACUAUGAGAAAAUUCGAUUUAAAAAAAAAAAAGUAGGCAUCCGGAGUUUGUUUCAAGAAAAAUACGUGUACCAUAUUUUCAUCAAGUACCAGUCGCCGCAAAAUAAAUGAAAAUAUCUAUCCAAUAACGUACGCGACAUAAAAACCAAGAAUAUAUGACUAUAGGUAGAGGUACAAGCAGGCAACCAAAAACCAUAAAUCAUUCGUCAAAAUGACAUCAUGAACUGGUAAAUACGUAAGCAAAUAUACAGUUAACAUAAAUAAAACAUUAUCGCCUCUUCUCGAUCGUAACAUUAUUCAACCAAUACGACACUAUCGUCCGAAUUUAAAUACUUAGGUAACCGCCGAUAUCAUUACAUUUUUUUUUUUUUUGGAAAUUACUCCACUCGAAAAAAUAAAAAAUACUGGUGUACGAAAGCAUCCAUCAUCAAAUUCGCAAAAUUCAUCACUCCGAUGGGAAUCUCGUCGAUUCUCUCAAGUAUUCUCGAAGAGGAUAAAAAGUGUUCGCGAACGAAGAACGAGGAAAAAUAAUAUGAAGAUCUUUGGAGACGAGACACACGUAUAGGUACAUAUUAUAUAAUUGAAAAAAAAAUGAAAAUUACUUACUAUAUUUGGAAGGAUUGUUUUUUUUAUAUAUAAAGACAAGACAAACAAGUACACUGCUACGGGACCCAUUCAACUAUAAUGAUAACAAACGCUACUGAACUUUACACUCCUACAUACAACGAUAAGAAAAAUUUCCACUAGCAUAAAAUAUAAUGAUAAUGGUAUCCGGGGACAUGUUAUGUAGUGAUAAUAAAUUCCCUAUCAACGACGAAGAGGUCGCGGAUUUUUGAUAACGAAAUAUUAUAAGUUGGUUAACGACCAAUGGCUUUUUUAAAUACUGGAAGUUCAACACAAGCCAGAAUAAUUACCUAUAAUGAGUCGCAAUCACGGCGAUAUACCUACCUAAUUAAUAUAGUUUUAAAAAAAUAAUAAUAACGCCAUUUACCUUAAAUGUAAAGAAAUAGACCAAGAUCGUCAUUUAUAUAUUUUUUACGUAUUUUUAUAGAUACUGACUGGGUAAUCAUAGGAGUCAGAUAUUGAUAGCGGUUUUUUGUUUUCCUAUUUUGAUUUGUAUAGGUACCUAUACCUACAAGUUCUUAAAUGUUUUUUUGUUGAGAAAUGCCGCACUAUAGAGGACGUGAUUGGAAUUGAGGAUGAUUUUGGAUAAAUUUUCUUCUCAAUAUACCUACUUGGCCGUUUUUCGAAUCGAAACGUCGGCCAUUAUGCCCAGUUGUCUCUUAUGGUCGAAAACCUGAGCGAUAAAAUUUAUAGAUUUCGUGUGCCUCUCUCUUAACUCUUUCAAGUGCGGCGAAAUUUCAAUUUUUCUAGAAAAAAUUACCUAGGUAUAUUUUGCUAUCCUCACCCAUAUACAAGAACUUUUUUUUCACCAACGACCAUCAAAACAUACUUAUAAUAUGUCAUUUGUCAUUGGUUGAAUUAUACGAUUAACACAUAGAAAUUUAACUUCAUUAAUCUUUCUUCCAAUUAUAAUUCACAUUAAACGAAACAUACUUUAUAAUACUUUUUCUUAAUAAAAUCGCUUAUGUGGUUUGAAUUAAAUUUCAACGUACGACCUCUUCCCAUUUCAAGAUUACAUUUUCUUUCAAGCCAAUUUAACGUCAUACUUUCAAGUCGAAAAUUUACUCAAAAAAAUAAAAGGAUACAAAAAAUUGAAAAAUUUAGACGAAUAAUUCUCGAAAUUUAUAUUUAUUUUACCACAGUUUAAGUAUUUUAUUCAAAAUUAGGAAUUAUACUUGACUAUUCAAAAAUUUUAAUCUGAUUCCUCUUCUCACCUCCCCUUUUCCCUUCCUCUUUAGAUCUUCAUUGCUGACGAGAAAAAUAUAUAAUUCAAAAUUGUAAAUCAGUGAUUCAAAAAGUCAAAACUGUCAAAACUGAAACUGAAAACUGGUUGAAUUAUUGGAAAAUGAAACGAAAAAACAAACAAAAAACAAAAUUUGAAACUAAAUUUUUUGUCAGUUUUUUAAAAAAUCAGUUCUCUUGUUUUUAAAUCGUGCAUCGUGCUAUUGCUAGUUUGGUUCAAAUUCGCUUUUUUUCCAACAUGCGGAAUCCACCAAAAAUCGCUUCUUCCUACGUAUCACAAUACCUCUGAUAGUACAUAUUAGGUAUACCUCAUCUGCCUGUUCCUCAUCGAGUCAAUCGUUCUUCUUCAUUUUUAAAAUUCCCGUUUUUAUUUUCUUUUUUCAAUUUUUACGUUUUUUGUUUUUUUUUUUUUUUGAAAAAACUAAAACUGACACUGAAAAGUGUAGCUUUUGUUCUUUUAGUUUCACAGUUUUGUCAAAACCUUGUAUUUAGACACACACGCAUUUAUGAUAAUUAUCCAAAAUAUUCAAUUUUGAGCCCCCUUCUCACCCCAUUCCCCUUUCCUUAUUUUGAGACUAAUUUAUGGUCGAGGUUGAAACAAAUACGAGAAAUUUUGAAGUUCACCUCCCUCCUUGCAACUCAAUUUGACAUGGUUUAGCAUUGUGAAUGUGAUACCUAUAGAGGAAAUUUCACUACAAGAAUACUUAUAAAGAAACCAUUCAAUUAAUGCACACUGCAAAGUAGGUCUGUUUUAUACCUAUACCUUCUUGAUAUUUUCCAACAUCUUAGGUACCUAUAUAAGACGAUUCUCAUGUACCUUCGAGUUUUGAAUGAGUAUAUUUAUUUACCUAGGCCUACCAUUCAUUUUGAAUUUUUUAAUUCACUUACCUAUUUUCUUACCUACUUGUUUUUCUUAGUAGGUUAUACUAAUAAAUUUGAGCUCACCGAACUCUUAAAAAUAAUUCAUCAUUUUGUCAAUUUCUGUCAUUUGAUGAAAGUUGAAAUCGUAAAACUUGACAGAGUACAAAAUUGAACACUUAUUUAGUAAUAUAGGUAGGUACCUACUUUUAUUACAAAAUGAAAAAAAAACAAACUUCAAAUAAAUAAUAAUAAUUCAUUUUCUGAAAUAAUACAGAGUAUAGAUAAAAUGCAAAAUUUUACUUAAAUUACAGAAGAUUUAUUCUUUUUAAAUAUUCAGGUAUGUAUAAUUGAAUAUUAUUACUUCAAAUAAGUAAAUCUGUGAUAGUUCACUUCAUUCAAAACUUCAAACCAAAAGUUUACUACUUUGGUAGAACUUUGAGAAGGUCCAGAUGACAAUAAUCUGAAUUUCUUUAUUUGACUGAACUAUUAAUAAGUAUAAUAAUAAUUUAUUUUGGUAUAGUACAUAUCAAACUCACACAAUAUCACCACUAAACACGUUUGUUGAUAAAUAAAUUAAAUACUUAUCUAUAAGGGUGUUAUUCUUUCCAAAUCUUCAGACGUGCUUGGUCUAAAGCUAAAAUGUAUGUGGGAAUGAAUUUUUUCAUUUUUUAGUUGCUGGAAAAGGAACAAAUAUUUCCAAUUUGUCUCAGGAACAAAAUUUCUACACUGAGUGGGUACUAAUAUGCAUUGAGAAUUACAAUUUUUCAUUCCUCUUUUCAUUAAAUUUGCCCUAUGGCUAGAAGAGAGCUCAUAGGGGUAUAAAUUCAAUGUCGAAAGUGUUUCAAAUUUUGAAUAGUAUUGAUGUAAAAGAAUGGUCUUCUAUAGUCUGUCUCAUUUAACUUGACCAUUACCAAUACUUACACACUACUCUAUCGCAUUGUGUAAAUACAACGCACAGUUGCCACAAAUAAUUUCAAAAGAAAACAAAUAGUAAAGUCAACAUCACCUUACGCGGCAAAUGCGGCAAAGUAAAGCAAAAUGAACAAUGCUGAUUUUUUUUUUUUAAAUGAAAAAUAUGAAAAUGAAAUUUACGUACUUAUUUGAAGAUAAUUUGAAGUAAUAAGCACGAUCUUUAAUAAUAAUAAUGGAAAAUGACACAAAAAAUGUAAUUUUAAUUGUGAAAAUAGGUACUGAUAACAUUACAUUUACAGUAUUUUCAUUUUUGGAAGCCAGUAAAUAUUAUUUUUCAUGGGCAAUGCUUGACUUUGUUGUAUUAUGUAACGAAAUUAUGCAGUUGUAAACAUCAAAACAUUGCACAUUUUGGCAACGUAGGAAAUUUUUGAGAGGUCAAGUUAAAUGAGACAGACUAUAGUCGAAUUCAUGAUGACAGGUUUAUUCUUAUCGAAAAGGUAUCGAAAGGUUAAAUUUGGUUUUUAGCGUGUUUUGUUCGAAAUGUAAUUUUGAGUGGUCUUUAGACCUUUUUUCAAUACUUACUCGUUUCUUCAGAAACCAUUGUUGUCAUGUAUUGCACAUAUUCAUCUGAAAGUGAACAUUUUUUUCAAUCAGCUGUUUAUUUCAGCUGUUACACGUCGUACCUAGAAAGAGCCUAAUUCUUUGGGAUUGUUUUAUUGAAAAAAUAAUAGUCGAGACCAAUUAAGGAAAAAAAGCACUUAUAUUCAAUAGUUCAUUGUCAUAUCUCAGUAUCUAUAACAAUGGAUGGAUCAUCAUUACUUCAUUAGAAAUAAAGCGGAGAGAUGAAACAAAAAUAGGUAAAGGUUAAGUAGUAAUUAAAAUUAUUCUUUCGGUUUAUUGAUAAUGUCUGUAAUCAUACUCAUUCCAUAUAGUGUUAUUACAGUAGGAAUAACUACCUUGGUUGGGGCAUGGCCCCAAACCUUGUAGUUCAGCUGCCCGUUCGGCGUUCUCUACAAUAUAAACUUCCACCAGCCCCAGGACUGGUUUUUUGGUGAAUUCAUAAUUUUUCCUCUGGGCAUCUAAGUUAAACAAAAUACAAGCAAAUUUUGAUUUUUAUGUAAAUAUUAGAAAUUUUAAUUUCCCUUUUAAUUCGAGACAAUUUUUAUCCACAAUGAUUCCAUCGAUCAGAUAUGCCCAGUUUUGGUUUGGUCUGAAUUUCACUAUCAAAAAAAAUAUUUACAAUUAGUUUUUUCAUUGUAUUAUUUUUCUUUUUAAACAUAAUUAGUUGGUUUUUAAAAAAAUGCAUCAGGGUAUUUACUGUAUUUAGGUACAUGGAAAAAAAAUUUCUUUUUCCUUACCAUUGAACGCACUGAAUGCGUUUACAAAUGCUUCUAAUCUCUUCGAUUUCAAUUUACCCAUGUCGUCCUUUCUGGGAUUGUCUGCUAUCUGCAUCAACAUGAAAACAAAAAAAAAAAAAAAUCACCAUUAGUUUUAUAUUUUUUCUCAAGGGUGAUGAGAUGGCUAGUUUUUUGGUUAGAUUUUGAUUUUCUGAAGUAUUCUUCAGAGAGUGCUAAAAUUGGAGUGCGGAGUAGAUUUCCUCUUUUCAUCUCCAUUUAAUGAAAUUUUAAGUUUCAGAAAUUUACUAUUUUCAAAAAGUCGCUGGAGACUCCUAAACGACUUGAUAUAUCAGAGGACCCAAUUUUUCUUCCCACUGUUUCAUGUUUGGAAUCAGAAUCCGCUAGAUUUCUCACCAAAUUAUAUGAAUAAAAUACCUGUUACUAAUAUUCACGAUUUGCUCAAAGUCAAAAUCGUAUUAUUGACUCAGAAUUGAAAGAAAAAAAAACAGUGUGAAUAUGCUAAAUUCAGAGUGCUUAGUAAUUAUAAAUCGACACUUUGAAACAAGAAAAUUAUUGUUUUAAACAAUAAAAAAAAACUUUUUUUUCAAACACUGAAUAAGCCCUAAUGUUUAUAAAAUUGUUAAAGAUAAUGAUCAUAUAUGUAAUUAUACAAACUUUAUUUAUGUAAAAAUAUUUGUAAUCUUCAUUGUAAACCUGAUAUUGUCCAUCCAUGAGUUCAACUUUAGUCAAGUCAAAGUUCUAUGGAAGAGCCUAUCAAGUUUAUGGUGAUGUCAAUUGAUACUGAGCCAAAAGUAUCCUUUUUCACACAGCUGAUGACUGAAUUAGUUAAUACUUACAUUGUUGCUGUUAUAUAUUUAAUUUUACUCCUUGAAUAUUAUUUUAUUCUGUUAUAAUUUUCUAAAACCUAUUGUGAUUGAUUUUUUCAUCAAUUGUAUACUUAUUUGUAAGUACCUACCUAAAUAGUUUUCCUGUAAGUACUUUUUUUCUGCUGCUAUUGAUUCGCCUAUUAGUUCACUCUGUGGUUGUUGAGAUAACCGUUAUGGUUGCGAAUGUGUUGCCUCAAGUCCUUAUGAACUUAUGCCAUUUUAUUUUCAUUUUUCUAUUGGCUGUUGGUGAUUGUUCAUCAAAUUAUUUGUCAGGUCUGUGACCCAAACUACUGUUAACUUGGAUACAUAUCCAUUUUCAAGGACUUGUAAAUUUCGCCUAUUCUUGUAUGCUGGUGUUUUUAAAGGGCACACAUUGAGAUUAAUUUUUUAAUCUUGAUUACACUUUUAACUGGUGUUUAUCAAAUGAGUGAGUAGAUUUUGGUGAAUGCAUUUGCCUAAAAUAUAGCAGCUUUCCUGAUUUCUAUUCAGUCUACUUCCUAUUCAAAAAUAGUCGAGUCCUAUUUCAAUAUCGUACCUAAUGUAUUGUUUUCAAAUUAUUCAUUGACUCUCAUAUAAUCUGAGUACCUAUAUUGAAUUACUUUUUAUGUUGAAUUAUUAUUGCAUAUUUAUGGAUAUUUUCAUCUAUUUCAACUGGAAUCUUAUAAUUUUUCAGUAAUAAUUUUGGUAGAACUGAUCUCAAAAUGUAUUCUUUUAAUUUUCUUUCUUAACCUUUUCUAAAUAUCUUUUUGAUUGUUGAAAUUUUCUACCUUUUACCUACCUAUAUUUCACUUAUAUUUUUUCAUCUUUCUUGAAAUUUUUUCUAUUUGUCACUUUUUUAAUGCUUAGAGGAUUUUAGUAUGGGUUUGAGCCUCUAUUCCGUAUUAUGUUGCUUUGUUUUUUAUUCAGUUUUAUUUUAAUAUAUUUUUUUUAUUAAGUUACUUUGCAUUUUUAUACUUUUCCUAUAAAUAAUAUCUACCUAUUGUUGUAUUUUUUUUCAACUUGUACGUGUUGUUUUUUUUUAACCUUUUUCUGUGAUGUAAAUUUUUGCGAUGUAUUUGGUUCGAAUUAAACGAUGUUAAAAUAUUGA